rnacentral:rRNA from 1 species
CCUACGGGUGGCAGCAGUGAGGAAUAUUGGUCAAUGGACGAGAGUCUGAACCAGCCAAGUAGCGUGAAGGAUGACUGCCCUAUGGGUUGUAAACUUCUUUUAUAUGGGAAUAAAAUGUUCCACGUGUGGGCUUUUGUAUGUACCAUAUGAAUAAGGAUCGGCUAACUCCGUGCCAGCAGCCGCGGUAAUACGGAGGAUCCGAGCUUUAUCCGGAUUUAUUGGGUUUAAAGGGUGCGCAGGCGGGAGCUCAAGUCAGCGGUAAAAUUUCGGGGCUCAACCCCGGCCGGCCGUUGAAACGGGUUGUCUAGAGUACGAGAGAGGUAUGCGGAAUUCGUGGUGUAGCGGUGAAAUGCAUAGAUAUCACGAAGAACUCCGAUUGCGAAGGCAGCAUACCGGCUCCAUACUGACGCUGAGGCACGAAAGCGUGGGGAUCGAACAGGAUUAGAUACCCGAGUAGUC